rnacentral:rRNA from 1 species
GACGAACGCUGGCGGCGUGCUUAACACAUGCAAGUCGAACGGAAAGGCCCUGCUUUUGUGGGGUGCUCGAGUGGCGAACGGGUGAGUAACACGUGAGUAACCUGCCCUUGACUUUGGGAUAACUUCAGGAAACUGGGGCUAAUACCGGAUAGGAGCUCCUGCUGCAUGGUGGGGGUUGUAAAGUUUCGGCGGUUGGGGAUGGACUCGCGGCUUAUCAGCUUGUUGGUGGGGUAGUGGCUUACCAAGGCUUUGACGGGUAGCCGGCCUGAGAGGGUGACCGGCCACAUUGGGACUGAGAUACGGCCCAGACUCCUACGGGAGGCAGCAGUGGGGAAUAUUGCACAAUGGGCGGAAGCCUGAUGCAGCAACGCCGCGUGCGGGAUGACGGCCUUCGGGUUGUAAACCGCUUUCGCCUGUGACGAAGCGGGAGUGACGGUAAUGGGUAAAGAAGCACCGGCUAACUACGUG